rnacentral:rRNA from 1 species
GAUGAACGCUGGCGGCAUGCCUAAUACAUGCAAGUCGAACGAGAACCUUCGGGUUCUAGUGGCGAACGGGUGAGUAACACGUAGAUAACCUGCCCACCAGACCGGGAUAACUGAUGGAAACGUCUGCUAAUACCGGAUAGUUACAGAGGAGGCAUCUCCUUUGUAUUAAAGUCGGGACACGACACUGAUGGAUGGAUCUGCGGUGCAUUAGCUAGUUGGUGAGGUAACGGCCCACCAAGGCGAUGAUGCAUAGCCGGCCUGAGAGGGUGAACGGCCACAUUGGGACUGAGACACGGCCCAA